rnacentral:tRNA from 1 species
GGGUCGAUGCCCGAGUGGUUAAUGGGGGCGGACUGUAAAUUCGUUGACAAUAUGUCUACGCUGGUUCAAAUCCAGCUCGGCCCAAAAAA